CCCUUAGAUGUUCUGGGCCGCACGCGCGCUACACUGACGCAUUCAACAAGCCUAGCCUUGACCGAGAGGUCCGGGUAAUCUUUGAAACUGCAUCGUGAUGGGGCUAGAUUAUUGCAAUUAUUAAUCUUCAACGAGGAAUGCCUAGUAAGCGUGAUUCAUCAAAUCGCGUUGAUUACGUCCCUGCCCUUUGUACACACCGCCCGUCGCUCCUACCGAUUGAAUGUGUUGGUGAGGAGCUCGGAUUGGCAGCAGUUGGUGGUUCGCCACCGGCUAUUGCUGAGAAGUCCUCCAAACCGCCCCAUUUAGAGGAAGGAGAANUCGUANCA
rnacentral:rRNA from 1 species